rnacentral:rRNA from 1 species
GAACCCCGCUUGCGGGGGGAUUAGUGGCGAACGGGUGAGUAACACGUGAGUAACCUGCCCUUAACUCUGGGAUAAGCCUGGGAAACUGGGUCUAAUACUGGAUAUUGACUUUUCACCGCAUGGUGUUUGGUUGAAAGAUUUAUUGGUUUUGGAUGGACUCGCGGCCUAUCAGCUUGUUGGUGGGGUAAUGGCCUACCAAGGCGACGACGGGUAGCCGGCCUGAGAGGGUGACCGGCCACACUGGGACUGAGACACGGCCCAGACUCCUACGGGAGGCAGCAGUGGGGAAUAUUGCACAAUGGGCGCAAGCCUGAUGCAGCGACGCCGCGUGAGGGAUGACGGCCUUCGGGUUGUAAACCUCUUUCAGUAGGGAACAAGGCCAUCUUUUGGGUGGUUGAGGGUACUUGCAGAAGAAGCGCCGGCUAACUACGUGCCAGCAGCCGCGGUAAUACGUAGGGCGCAAGCGUUAUCCGGAAUUAUUGGGCGUAAAGAGCUCGUAGGCGGUUUGUCGCGUCUGCCGUGAAAGUCCGGGGCUCAACUCCGGAUCUGCGGUGGGUACGGGCAGACUAGAGUGAUGUAGGGGAGACUGGAAUUCCUGGUGUAGCGGUGA